rnacentral:rRNA from 1 species
AUUGAACGCUGGCGGCAGGCUUAAUACAUGCAAGUCGAACGGUAACAGCAGAAAGCUUGCUUUUUGGCUGACGAGUGGCGGACGGGUGAGUAAUACCUAGGAAACUGCCUAAACGAGGGGGAUAACAUUUGGAAACGAGUGCUAAUACCGCAUAUGCUCACAGCAACACAUGUUGCAGUGAGGAAAGGAGUAAUCCGCUAAUAGAUGGGCUUGCGUCUGAUUAGCUAGUUGGUGGGGUAACGGCCUACCAAGUCGACGAUCAGUAGCCGGACUGAGAGGUUGAUCGGCCACAUUGGGACUGAGACACGGCCCAGACUCCUACGGGAGGCAGCAGUGGGGAAUAUUGCACAAUGGGGGAAACCCUGAUGCAGCGACGCCGCGUGAGGGAAGAAGGUAUUCGUAUUGUAAACCUCUGUCUUCGGGGACGAUAAUGACGGUACCCGAGGAGGAAGCACCGGCUAACUACGUG